rnacentral:tRNA from 1 species
GCCAUCAUAGCUCAGUCGGUAGAGCGCAUCCAUGGUAAGGAUGAGGUCUCGGGUUCGAUUCCCGAUGAUGGCUCCA